rnacentral:rRNA from 1 species
UACGUAGGGAGCGAGCGUUGUCCGGAUUUACUGGGUGUAAAGGGUGCGUAGGCGGCAAUGCAAGUCAGGCGUGAAAGCUCGGGGCUUAACCCCGAAACUGCGCUUGAAACUGUGUUGCUUGAGUGAAGUAGAGGUAGGCGGAAUUCCCGGUGUAGCGGUGAAAUGCGUAGAGAUAUGGAGGAACACCGGUGGCGAAAGCGGCUCUCUGGCCUGUAACUGACACUGAGGCUCGAAAGCGUGGGGAGCAAACAGG